GUCAUUCCUCAGAAAGGGCUCCCCCAGUCCUUCCAGGCUUGGUAAAACUUACUUGCCACAUACCCCUAUAUUACCUUAUCAGAUGGUCCUCAUCGUGUCUGUAUUUAUAAGCCCAGUGUGUCUUUCUCAGCUUUGGACACACUGUUCUCUUUGCCUGGACCAACUUUCUCCUGAAUGAUUACUUCUUGAUCUUCAAAUCUCAGCUGAAACCUCACCUCUUCAUGGAGACCUUCCCUCACCAAUCUAAAUGAGGAGUUACAUUCCGAAUUUAGUUGGACCUCCAAGUUGCAUCUGUAUCACCUGUAUCGCUUGUUGAUGUCUCCUGAAGCGUCUGGAGCACAUGGCUUCCCCAGGAGCAUCAUACUUCUGAGCCACACUCAAGACAGUUAUACUUUUCAUACCCACCUCUAUCUGACCAAGGCUAUUUGGUUCAAGAACUUGAGUCCUGGGAGUUCUGGUUCAAGAUGGCAACACAGGAGAAUCCUGAGCUAACCUCCUCCCAGGAACGCACCAAAUCUACAGCUACAUACAGAACAAUGGCCUCUGAAAGCAAAAGAAAAUCUAGCUGAGCAACUUUUACAAAUCAGGUGUAUGAGGAAAAACCUACAUGGAAGCGGCAUUAUUUAUAAUAGCCAAGACAAGGAAGCAACGUAAGUGUUCAUCAAUCAAUGAAUCGAUAAAUAUAAUGUGCUAUAUGUAAUCAGUAAAUUAUUAUUCAGCCUUAUAAAGAAGGAAAUCUUGCCAUUAGCACCAACACGAUGGACUAGGAGCACAUGAUGGAAGUGUGAUUCAACUAUGGGGAUGAGGAAUCAGUUGACAUUUAGACUACCCAAUAUUACUUGGUAAGUGUCCCGAGAGAGGUGUACAGAGAAUUCCAACUGAACUCACAGGAAGAAUACUUGCCAGUCAUGAAGGAUUUCUAGAGGAGCAGAAGCCAGAGAGAGGCUCAAAGAUUGGACGUGGCUGGCCUGGUGAAGAGGAGAGGCAUGCGAGUCAUUGUUCUAGACAAUAAUAAGAAAUAUAGGACUCAAUUAUUUAUACAGGUCCUAAUCACUUUGAUUCAGUGUCCCUUUAUAGUGUUCUUCCUGAAUAUAAGAUAUUGGGCAUUCUGAUCUCCAGGUAGAAAAAAGAGCUUGGGUGGCCUGGGCCAGAGUUUAGAAAGGGGAGUCAUUUCUACUGUGCUAUGAGGUAUCUGAAACAGUGAUAAGGUAAGGAGGCUGGAAUAUGGUUAGCUUAUCAUAAUUCACCCCCUUUCCCCCAUGAGAAUAUUCUAUAAGAGGUAUUAAAUAUACAAAUUUUUAAGUCAAACAGAAUGGAAAACUCCUCAGGAACUGUUAGAUCUUCCUUAUCAUUUAAAUUAUGAACUGUUUGAACCAAAAGAAAAAAAACAAAACGUGUGCUUGUGUGUGUGUAAACAUACCCAUAGAUCCAGUUUUAUAAGGUUAAGGAAAACUUAGACAUACUUUGUGGUUUCUGCACUUGCCAUUUGCAUUUAAGGUUUGGUUAGUUGAUUUCCUGAACAUGCCAUUAAAAUUGAUCUCAUGAUAUAAUGAAACAGCUACAAAAUAUACAAUAAAAUGAAAUAAUAAAACAAUAACAAAAAAGAUGGGGUGGUUAGAUUGAGAACAAGUUCAUAGCAUAAUGAGCCCUUAUUGUGUGUGAUGGUGGUGUUAGUGUGCAAGUAUGAGUGUAUUUGUGAGUGUCUAAUUUUAUGAUAAGGGAACAUUUAAUAUUAAUUCAGCAGAAACAUUUCAGUAAUCAGUGACCUACCUAGCUAUGAAAUUCUUGAGUUUCUUUUGGAAACACUGUAUAAAGCUACUACAGAUCUUUCCUCCACCUACCUUCUGGAGAAUAUCUAAGAGAUAAUUUCACAGCUUUUGGUGCUUCUAAUGCUAAUAUCAGACACUUGGAGCCUUUUAAUUUAGGAUGUAAUCUUUUCUCUGUUCCCACUGAGUGUUAUAAAAAAUAAAAUACAGCCACUACAAGAAAAAGCAUUAAUCGGAUUAGUUCAGGGUCAGAACUUAAGUGAAUGCUCUAAAAAUCAAAACUGUGUGCCCUAAUGUGAUACCAUGUACUUAUAAACAGGGCUUAUGCCAUCAACCACUUGCAAAAUCUUGCCAAUAUUAUUAUUGCCAUAAAAAUCGGAGAAUUGAUUAGUGGGUUACUUAAAAUUGUAAUCUCAGCCUUUGGAGGACUUACUUAAAUCAAAUUUAAGAAGAGUUAUUUAAUAUUUGUUUUAACAGAAGUUUACUUAGAAAUUUAAGAUUAGAAAAUAGUUUCGGAUAGUGCUGUUGAAACCAAAAAGAAGUUGGCUAUGUGCCUUUUUCCCAAGGUGGUCAUAUUUCCCUUAAGGCCAAUUUGUCAUUGAUCAAAUAUCUGUCCAAAACCAUUCAUGUGUGUUUUGAGAACCUACACUCAAUCACACUCUCUGUUUGGAUAGGCAACUAUUGUUUCCUAUGUAAAGACGAAUGAUGAUAGGUGAAUAUAAUAAUUUUAGUUUUAACUUUAAUGUAUAUUUUUCUGAAACUGAAAAAAAAUACCAAGAUGGUGUUUUGUGCUUUUGCCUUAUUUCACAAUUAAGUUCUUUUUAGCAACUCAGAAAAGGAAACAAUCAAAGGGUAUUUAAAAGUCUUACGAGUUGUUUUUUUUUGAUGUCGUGCUAAUGGCAAUUUCUUAUGGAAUUGUUUGAAUAUACUGCCAAUGAUAGAACUGGAUGUUUAUAAAAAUAAAUUAUUGAAGAUUUUUUCAAUUUGAAA